GUAAGGAAUAUUGGUCAAUGGGGGCAACCCUGAACCAGCCAUGCCGCGUGAAGGAUGAAGGCGUUAUGCGUUGUAAACUUCUUUUGUAUGGGAAGAAUGACAGGGAUUCAUCCUUGGAGAGACGGUACCAUACGAAUAAGCACCGGCUAACUCCGUGCCAGCAGCCGCGGUAAUACGGAGGGUGCAAGCGUUAUCCGGAAUCACUGGGUUUAAAGGGUACGUAGGCGGGCUUGUAGGUCAGGGGUGAAAUCCUACAGCUUAACUGUAGAACUGCCUGUGAUACGAUAGGUCUGGAAUAUUGUUGGGGUGGGCGGAAUACAUCAUGUAGCGGUGAAAUGCUUAGAUAUGAUGUAGAACACCGAUUGCGAAGGCAGCUCACUAAGCAAAUAUUGACGCUGAGGCACGAAAGCGUGGGGAUCAAACAGGAUUAGAAACCCCUGUAGUCC
rnacentral:rRNA from 1 species